ACUGAUGUUGUGGAGCUCAACUGGGGCGUUGCCGGCCCGACGGGAUGGAGUGGUUCCGCCUCCCAGUGGAGUCCCAAGAUUCCAUGAGUGACGGGGCCGGUAGGCACAUCCAUGUGAAGAUGAAGAUCGAUACGAAAUGUGCUCUGAAGCUACCAGUGGCUGGACACGAAGCAUCCAUGUUGAUAUCGUGCCGCCCAUGGCCGUGAUGGUCCCAGUGAAGUCACAGGCUUCAAUGAGAAACGCCGACGGACAAAUAUGCCGCGGUGACGGGUUCGAGAUGUGCUUUGAAGCUACUGGCGGCUGGACAAAAAGUGAGUCUUAUGAUUUAUUAUUUAUGGAUAUGGAAAGAUGAGGUCUUUGCGUAUAUCUUCCGUUUGCAAGAUGAAUUUGUCAUGGCGUGCCGCUUUUGGUCUGGUCAUUAAUCACGCCGUGGAUUGUAGAAAAUUAUAAAUGGUUCGUUUUUUAUAGAUACAAGUGCCAUUACAUAUUUGUUGUACCUAGCAUCAGGAAUUGUUAGUAGGCAUUGUGCAGUAUAUGUUCUGUUUUUUUUACCAGCUCCUUCUGAUAGAUAUUCCCCACAAAGCAUAUUUCCUUAUGCAGAUUUUCCUUUUUAUGGAGUCCCGGUGCAUGACAUAUUUGUUUAUCUGUGUAUGAUGAAUAUGAAUCUUUCAUGGCAUGGGGGGUCUUAGGGUUAUGAAUUUGAAAUGAUUUGAAAAAAUAGAAUCACGUGCUUAUGAACGAAUCAUGUAUGUAAGUUCACUUUAACAAAAUAAUGAAAAGUGACAAAAUGCGACAAAUGGUUGCAAAAAUGUUCAGUUUUGACCUGGAGCAAAAGAUGACAUUCAACAAUGUGAAUAGUUGGGUCUCUCUUUGAAACAUCAGCCUUGAACUUUCUGACAGCUUGGAACAGAUGCUUAAACACAUAACCUCCAUGGUUCCAUUCUUUCAUUUUGCCUAUGUUGUUUAGUGCUACCCAGAAAUGUAUAAUAAUGUACUCAUGCUUGGCAGUGGGAGCAACCAAAUGGUCCACUACAAAAAUUACGAAGAUAAUCUUGAUCUAUCUUUCUAGAAUCUGUUGUUAUGUCUCUAAGGAAAUAAGCCUCUGCUGCCUUCAAACAGUGAGUUCCUUAUCACUGUGACAAGCUGUGCUGGGGUUAAACUCAAUGCAAUUUGUACAUAUGGAUUAUAGACAUAUUCUUAGUGUGUGCUCAUGAAAAUAAAUUUCGUGUUUAUGUCUGAUUUUGUUAACCAAUGUGCCAUCAAUUUAUACAUGUGCCAACAUUUUUUCCUUAUUGUUGUAUAACCCACUGUGCCAACAAUUGUUAACCAAGUCAAUUUAUUUUGUUAGCGUUGUACAAUUUUUUUGUUGUGCCUAUUUUUCAUCUGAUCAUACAUGUUUUUGGUUGUGGAGUCUGUUACGCCAAAAGCAUACUGAAUGUCGAGAGGACAAAAUGUAUGCAAGAGCUUGUUUGCGGCGUAACUGUGACCAUCCAAGCCUAUUUUCCUCCAGCAAAAGAUGUAUGAAACAAAGACAUUACUGCUUCACCAUUGUAUGCUUUCUGUAAUAGACUGUUUGUGUCAUCUAUUCAUUUGGAAAAACUGUAGUUUCGGCUUGUUCCUGUUAAAAUCCCAGAAAAUUUAAUAUUGGUCAUUUUGUAUGGCUGUAUUUUGCAAAUCCAUUCUGGUUAGCUGUGCUGCUGAUACAAUCAUGCCUGGUAUGUGAAGGUUUGUGGGCCUUGAGGUUUUCUGGGCCUCAUGUUUUCUGGGUAUAUAUGUUAAUUGGCAUCA